rnacentral:tRNA from 3 species
AGCGGCGUAGAGGAGUUCGGUCGUCCUCGCGGGGCUCAUAAUCCCGACAUCGUGGGUUCGAAUCCCACCGCCGCCACCA